UCGCAGAAUUCUUUGAUGACUUGUCUUUUUUCAGCAUAAACCUCAUGAAACAGCUGAUUAGUUCUUCUGACCUACUUGUAGUGCAAGUGGAAAUGGAUGUGUACACCGCUCUCAAAAAGUGGAUGUUCCUCCAGCUAGUGCCUACUUGGAAUGGGUCUUUGAAACAACUCUUAACCGAAGCUGAUGCGUGGUUUGCCAGGCGCAGGAGAGAUUUUGAGGAUGACGUUGCCUUCCUGGAAUCGGAACAGGGGAAUGCGUUCCUGUCGGUGUUCACACACUUGAGAUUACAGUAUAUCAUCAGUGACUUGGCGUCAGCCAGAAUUAUUGAGAGAGAUUCCCUAAUGCCCUCAGAAUGGCUGUCCUCUGUUUACAAACAGCAGUGGCUUGCCGUGCUCAGAGCAGAACAAGGCAAUGAUAUUGGGUAGGUAUAUUACAGGCUUUCCUUUCUCUCUUUCU